ACUGGAUAGAUAUCAUCACAAUAGCUGCUUGGAAUGACUGGAGUGGCAUUAAAAUGCACAGCCUUCCUGUCUUGAGCAUGCUUUCAGCAGAGGUCUAGAGGAUGAGGCCACAUGCUCUUUUAUGCAGGAACGUGGAAGACAUACUUGGAGCUCUAUGUUUAAGUGAUAAGACGGCUUAACAUUUCCUGCUGUAAUCAGUAAAUACUAUAGAUCUGCACACUGCAUUGGACUCUCACCCUUCAUCUCCAUCUCAUUUUGCAUUUUGUCUCGACUUUUCCCAAACAAUAAAACAAACAAAUGAACAAAAGUGAAAUAGCA